rnacentral:lncRNA from 13 species
GAGUAGCUGGGAUCACAGGCGUGAGACACCACACCUGGCUAAUUUUUGUGUAUUUAGUAGAGACAGGAUUUUGCCAUGUUGGGCAGGCUGGUCUUGAACUCCUGACCUCAGAUAGUCUGCCUGCCUUGGCAUACCAAAAGUUCUGGGAUUACAGGCAUGAGUCACUACACCUGGCCCAAUUACUUUCCAAUAUAAUUUAAAAAGAAAUAGCUAGACUUGGUGGCUCACACCUGCAAUCCCAGUGCUUUGGGAGGCUGAGGUGGGAGGAUCACUUGAGACCAGGAGUUUGAGACCAGCCUGGGCAACAUAGCAAGACUCUGUAUCUACAAAAAGAUUAAAAAAAAAUUAGCCAGGCGCAGUGGUGAGCAUCUGUAUUCCCAGCUACUUGGGAGGCUGUGGCAGAAGGAUCACUGGGCCUAGCAGUUUGGGGCUACAGUGAACCUACUGUACCACCGUACUCCAGCCUGGGUGGCAGAGUGAGACACUGUCUCUAAAAAAAAUUAAAAAAAAAAAAAAAGAAAUAAAGCUCUUUUACAGAAAUUAAGGAGAUGUCAUGGCAUAUCCCAUUUAGGGAUCAGUGCAGUUUUGUGAAAUGAAGAGGCUGAUAUUUUAAAACCAGCCAAUGAGAAUUGGCUCCCACUCUGUCAAAUAGUCAUCUUAUCCCUAUACUUAGAAAAUGAAGCCAUUAUUGCCUUAAGAAUUUUUGUUGUGACUUUUCUUCUGUGUUCUACCUUUAGGAAUAUCCCUGCUUUCCAGUGGAUGACUUUGACUGGUACAAUUUCAUUCUCUGAAAGUGUUAACUGGGGAUCCGCAUGGCCAGAAACCAUUCUGAGCCUCAUGUGGUGUGGGAGGGAGGAAACCAUGUGAAGGGAACAGCACAUGCCCAUACGCUGACAUGGAAAGGAGCCAGAGGACCUGGAAUACAACCUGCAUUAACUCACUUAGGAGAGCUGCCUGACCUGGUGUGUAUGAGGGGUUGAGAUGGUCAGGGAGGGGGCAGUGGGCAGAUCAUGCUGGGCAUUGUAGACCAUGGAGGGAAGUUUGGAUUGCGUCCUUAGGGCAGCAGGAAACCCCUUAUGGGGUGGCUCCAGGGCAGUGGUGCACUAUGUUUUAAGACCACUGUGCUGUGUGUGGUCUGGAUAAAGGCUGAGUGCCUGCAGGGGUGAGUGAGAGGGGG